UGUUUGCAACUGUAGCUUUCUGAAUGAUGUUUUACAUAUUAAGCCUGAUGAGACGUAGCUGUGACCACCAGCCCCCUCAGCAGUGGUGAAACUCUGAGUCACCGAAAUCAAAUACCUCAGCUGUCAGCUGGCCGUGUCUGUGGAUUACUCUCUGCUGUAGGCCUCUGUGGUCUCCUCUACAUCCUUAGCUCCCCUCGACUUGAUGCUCUCAGGGAUGGGACCCUGGCUGCCUCCUAAGCCAUCCCCUGUCUUGGGACAGCUGCACAUUUUAGAAGGAUCUUUAGGUUUUCUCCUUAGGAGGCAACACCUGGUGCUGAUGUUUAAUGCCGGCUGGAAGGAGUGGCCCUGUGAAAGGAGAAAGCCUCCGCCAGGGGCACGCUGCAAUGGGUGCUGCUGAAGACUCCCAGUGCAGCGGGAUGGACACAGCCAACAGUGGAGAAGACAGGUGGAGUCUUCUUGCCAUGAGGUUUGAAUUCAGGUGUCAAAGAAGGACCUUAAUAAGCACUGGAAGAUAGGUACUAUGGACUGAAUGUUGUUAUCCUCCCCCAAUUCAUAUAUUAAAACCUAAUUCCCAGUA